rnacentral:lncRNA from 1 species
CUGGACACUGCAGCUGGCAGUACUGCUGAGAAGAUGAACAGAAAGCAAUGAAACUGGGAGCUGGGAACCAAAGCACAUGCUACUAGCAAAUGACACAUGCCUAUACCACAAGUGAUCAACCCAUGGAUAGACUUGGUCCAUAAAGCCUGCUUGGGACUUUGCUGGCUUAACUUUCAAAAAGUCCCAGGGAGAGACAAGACUGUUAAAAUAUGGGUUUUGUAAUCAUGAUUUUCAUUUAGAAGCUGAAGGCAUAUCUCCCCUACUUUAUUUUUCUGCAGUAUCAGAUAUUCCUGAACACCCUACAAAGAGGCCAGGCCUACAGUGCUGAGAUAUUAACAGCAGUGUUCUUCAGCCAGCCUCUGAAUCUAUUAAUAGCUCCUUGCAGGAGGAACAAACCCUGUCUCUCUCCCUCUGCGUCUUCUACUGACAUGGAAGCUAUAACGACAGAGAACCACAGGAGAGAAUCAGAGAAGGAGGAGUCUGGUGAAUGUAUUCAGAGUUGCUGGUCUGGGGUCCUUGGCUAUCUCAUAUCACCAAUGAAAAAGCCUGCAUGAACUGUGAAGUUAUGGCAUGUGAAGAGUAAACAUUAAAACCUUGAAGAUAUCUGCAUCUCUCUAUGAAAAAAAAAAAAAAAAACUUUUUCAAUAUUUCAGCAGCAUCUACACUAAUCAGUUAUUUCUCUACUCUAUACCUUAAAACUGCAGCCAUAUAACUUCACUGUAGCCCUAAAACCAUUUUCUAUUUCACUGAGUAUUGGACUUCGGUUGUUUUGUUGUAACUUCUGUUAUUUUAUAGUACUGUCAGUCUUCCUGUCUAGUGGCACACACACGUUUUGCUCUUGCUUUGGAGUUACCAGACCAUCAGAAUGGAUUAUGCACUUUUCUGGGAGCAUAAUUUGACCACUUAUUACUGGUAAUGAAACAGAAAUAAAGAGCAAUAUUUGGCUUCCAGGGAAAAAAUAAAAAUAAAAAUAAAAAAACAUUGCUAGCAGUUACAGGAAAAACAGCGUUCUUUUUCCAUUUAUACACUGAAGAUGCUUGCCUUUAGUUCCUGGCAUACAAUUUCAAUAGACCCCUGGAACACAUUUGAGAUGGAAAUUAGCCCUUAAUGCAGAUCAACCAUGGGGAGCAGGGAACACUUUGGUUUCAGUAUUUCAAAGAUAUGUUUCCUAAGUUUCAGUAAAUGUCCUUGCUCCCUUUCCAGACUAACCCUCAGGGUUCUCACAUUAACGUGUUUAGCCUCCCCUCAGACAGCGACUGGAUAAAACAAAUCUUUUUUCUUUGUUCUUGGUGAAUAUUUGAUUCAACAGGCUUCUUGGACAAUUUCCUUUGCCAUGCACUUCAGGCAAAACCCUGUGGAGCUCAGGGUGCAAGGAUUCGUUCAAUUGUCUAUUAUCUAGAACAAGAAAAUCUCGACCUAUUUAAACACAAAGGCCUGAAG